rnacentral:rRNA from 1 species
UACGUAGGAGACAAGCGUUGUCCGGAAUUACUGGGUGUAAAGCGCGUGUAGGCGGUAGGCCAAGUCUGCUGUGAAAUCGCCCGGCUCAACUGGGCGCGGUCGGUGGAAACUGGUCAACUGGAGGACGGUAGAGGCGAGUGGAAUUCCCGGUGUAGUGGUGAAAUGCGUAGAGAUCGGGAGGAACACCAGUGGCGAAGGCGGCUCACUGGACCGGAACUGACGCUGAGGCGCGAAAGCGUGGGGAGCAAACAGG